ACUCCUACGGGAGGCAGCAGUGGGGAAUAUUGCACAAUGGGGGAAACCCUGAUGCAGCAACGCCGCGUGAGUGAUGAAGGCCUUCGGGUUGUAAAGCUCUGUCUUCAGGGACGAUAAUGACGGUACCUGAGGAGGAAGCCACGGCUAACUACGUGCCAGCAGCCGCGGUAAUACGUAGGUGGCAAGCGUUGUCCGGAUUUACUGGGCGUAAAGGGAGCGUAGGCGGAUACUUAAGUGGGAUGUGAAAUACCUGGGCUUAACUUGGGUGCUGCAUUCCAAACUGGGUGUCUAGAGUGUUGGAGAGGAAAGUGGAAUUCCUAGUGUAGCGGUGAAAUGCGUAGAGAUUAGGAAGAACACCAGUGGCGAAGGCGACUUUCUGGACCAUAACUGACGCUGAGGCUCGAAAGCGUGGGGAGCAAACAGGAUUAGAUACCCUGGUAGUC
rnacentral:rRNA from 1 species